AGUACGAGAUGCUACAGCAUCGAAGCAGUCUAUGUCAUACUUCCGAGAAAAGCUUGCAAUGUCAUAAACAAAUAAUGCCUGUACCAUAACCGACACAGGUGGGUAGGUAGAGUAUACUAAGGGGCGCGAGAUAACUCUCUCUAAGGAACUCGGCAAAAUGACUCCGUAACUUCGGGAGAAGGAGUGCCUUAUUUUUAUAAGGUUGCAAUAACAAGAUCCAAGCAACUGUUUACCAAAAACACAGGUCUCCGCUAAGUCGUAAGACGAUGUAUGGGGGCUGACGCCUGCCCAGUGCCAGAAGGUUAAAGAAGUUGGUUAGCAUUAGCGAAGCUGAUAACUGAAGCCCUGGUGAACGGCGGCCGUAACAAUAACGGUCCUAAGGUAGCGAAAUUCCUUGUCGGGUAAGUUCCGACCCGCACGAAAGGCGUAAUGAUUUGGAUACUGUCUCGGAGAGGGGCUCGGUGAAAUAGACUUGUCUGUGAAGAUGCGGACUACCUGCACCUGGACAGAAAGACCCUAUGAAGCUUUACUGUAACUUGAGAUUGAAAUUGGACUUUAUCUGCGCAGUAUAGGUGGGAGACGUUGAAAAUAUUCUUGCGGGAAUAUUGGAGUCAUCAGUGAGAUACCACUCUUAUAAUGUUAGAUUUCUAACUUUGUAUCAUUAUCUGGUCAAAGAACAGUUUCAGGCGGGCAGUUUGGCUGGGGCGGUCGCCUCCCAAACGGUAACGGAGGCGCACAAAGGUUUCCUCUGAACGUGUAGAAAUCGUAUCUAGAGUGUAAAGGCAUAAGGAAGCUUGACUGUGAGACCUACAAGUCGAGCAGGGACGAAAGUCGGUCUUAGUGAUCUGACGGUGCUGAGUGGAAAGGCCGUCACUCAACGGAUAAAAGUUACUCUAAGGAUAACAGGCUGAUCUCCCCCAAGAGUUCACAUCGACGGGGAGGUUUGGCACCUCGAUGUCGGCUCAUCGCAUCCUGGGGCGGUAGUACGUCCCAAGGGUUGGGCUGUUCGCCCAUGAAAGCGGUACGCGAGCUGGGUUCAGAACGUCGUGAGACAGUUCGGUCCAUAUCCGGUGUAGGCGUUAGAAUAUUGAGAGGAGCCUUCUUUAGUACGAGAGGACCGAGAAGGACAUACCUCUGGUGUACCAGUUAUCGUGCCAACGGUAAACGCUGGGUAGCCUUGUAUGGAGAGGAUAACCGCUGAAAGCAUCUAAGUGGGAAGCCCACCUCAAGAUAAGUAUUCU
rnacentral:rRNA from 1 species